rnacentral:sRNA from 1 species
AUGUCCUAUCCAGCCCUUCACCAGAAGACCUUAAGAGUCGAUGUCUGUACCACCGACAGGAGCCAUCUGGAAGAGUGCCUGGGAGGCGCCCAGAUCAGCCUGGCGGAGGUCUGCCGGUCUGGGGAGAGGUCGACUCGCUGGUACAACCUCCUCAGCUACAAAUACUUGAAGAAACAGAGCAGGGAGCUCAAGCCAGUGGGAGUCAUGGCCCCUGCCUCAGGGCCUGCCAGCACGGUGAGCUGGGACCAGGACGCUGUGUCUGCUCUGUUGGAACAGACAGCAGUGGAGCUGGAGAAGAGGCAGGAGGGCAGGAGCAGCACACAGACACUGGAAGACAGCUGGAGGUAUGAGGAGACCAGUGAGAAUGAGGCAGUAGCCGAGGAAGAGGAGGAGGAGGUGGAGGAGGAGGAGGGAGAAGAGGAUGUUUUCACCGAGAAAGCCUCACCUGAUAUGGAUGGGUACCCAGCAUUAAAGGUGGACAAAGAGACCAACACGGAGACCCCAGCCCCAUCCCCCACAGUGGUGCGACCUAAGGACCGGAGAGUGGGUACCCCGUCCCAGGGGCCAUUUCUUCGAGGGAGCACCAUUAUCCGCUCUAAGACCUUCUCCCCAGGACCCCAGAGCCAGUACGUGUGCCGGCUGAAUCGGAGUGAUAGUGACAGCUCCACUCUGUCCAAAAAGCCACCUUUUGUUCGAAACUCCCUAGAGCGACGCAGCGUCCGGAUGAAGCGGCCUUCCUCGGUCAAGUCGCUGCGCUCCGAGCGUCUGAUCCGUACCUCGCUGGACCUGGAGUUAGACCUGCAGGCGACAAGAACCUGGCACAGCCAACUGACCCAGGAGAUCUCGGUGCUGAAGGAGCUCAAGGAGCAGCUGGAACAAGCCAAGAGCCACGGGGAGAAGGAGCUGCCGCAGUGGUUGCGUGAGGACGAGCGUUUCCGCCUGCUGCUGAGGAUGCUGGAGAAGCGGCAGAUGGACCGAGCGGAGAAUAAGGGUGAGCUUCAGACAGACAAGAUGA